GAAGAAUGAAUUUAUCAUAUAUUUUAUUAAUUGGGUGCAAACAAAUUACUCUCUAAUUCUAAAGAAAUUAAUGAAUGGUUGUUUGGGUCAGAGUUAGGAUAACAAUCCAAAGUCAAGACAAAACCCCAAAUCAAAUAAUUAAGCACGAGAUGCACACCAAACAGGAACUCCUGUUACUACUCCUCCAGGAUAAUUCUGCUCCACCGCAGGCAAUCCCCAGGUUGGCCGUGACGACGAUGACGAGGAAGAAAUCUGGUAAUGCGGUAAAUUCUUUCCCGAUACUGCUAGCCCAUUCACUUUUACAGAAACAUUAAUAAUUCCGUUCUUUACACCCCUCGCAUCCCUCAGCCUGUAACUCAAAAAGUGCAAAUAGUUCACUGGUGUAUAACCCCCAAAAAAAUCAGAAACAGGAACCAUAGCUGUGCCAAUAACUCUAUUCCCUGAGCCAAUCUUACAUUGCACUUCCAGGACAAUAAAGCGAGCAUGCAUUGGCAUAUCCAUUUCGAGUUUUUGAUUCCAGGAAGGAUUGCUUCCCCCUUCAUGAUCAGCCUUGGUAGAUUUAGAAUUGAGAGAAUCAAAUUUUACAACAACGAAGGCGUCCUUUUUCACGGAUUUUCCAUCCAGACGCAGGUUUUCAGCAGAUAAAACUGUGAUUUCCAGAGUGCGGGGUGCAGAAUCCAUGGGAAUGAGACCAAAGAAGUUAAUUAAGAUUGUUGAGAAAGU
rnacentral:misc_RNA from 1 species